GCGAUCAUACCAGAACUAAUGCACCGGAUCCCGUCAGAACUCCGCACUUAAGCAUGCUUGGGCGAGGGUAAUACUAGGACGGGUGACCCCUUGUGAAUUUCUUGUGUUGCACCCG